CUAUUUUCUCACAAUUGGUGGAGGAAGGAACAUGGGUUGCUAAUGCAACUUUGGCUCUUUCAUAGGUCAACAAUUCCAUGGGAAGAGGAAGAUGCAAUUGAGAGCUCUCAGCGGUUGGAGAACGAUUUCUGCUGUCCUGAGGGGGGAUCUGGACGACACACGACAGCAUCUGCCUCAUAAUUACAUCCUUAUUCAUGAUAUUCUCAGAGGUUCUGGCUGUGACACACCCCUGGGUUCUGGAAUUUGUAGGAUUCCUCUGGUUCAUCUGGCUGAUGGCCAAGGUCAGACUGUAGUACCAGCAGAAUAACUGCCCUGGUCUGUGGACAUCAUCAGUACCUUUCUCUGAGUGGGCAAACCAAGGAGCCCAUCACUGGGGCUCCCAAGUGGCCAGAGGCCCUGAAGAGCUGGCUGUGGGCCUUCUGGGUAAUAGAGGUCAAAACUCCAGCACAAGGAGUUCACCAGAGGAGAGAAACUAUCAUUCUCUGAACACAAACAACAUGAUCCUGGCUCUGAGCUUUCCUCUUUAAGGAGAAUGCCUUCCUGCUGGUAAUUAUGUGUCUAAAUGCUCCCAUGCUCAAGCCUACUCAACUUUCAUCUUACCCACGAGCCCAAUUCAGCUGAUAAAUACUAAUGUGUGCCUAUAAGGCAUUUUGAUUCAUGUUGACCUGUUUUGAAGCUGAGUAAAGGCCUGGGUCUAGGCUGGUUUCCAUAUUCAAGGGGAGUACAGAAAGGGCCAUAAUGGUCAUUGGUCUACCAGGAACACAACUUGAGGCAGUGGCUAGGGGACAAGAAACAAGGUAUGUGAUUCCCAACUCCUGCUAUCUGGGAAAGAACUGGUAAAGCCAAGCAACUCAAGGUGUCAGGGCCACAGCCAGGGUCUAGUGCAGGAUUGCUGCAUCAGUGGAAGGUUUGUGUGUGGGACAAGUAGCUGGGCAGGAGCUCCGUUGUAUGUAUGGAGCAUCUCUGAGGAACUAUAAGGAAGUGCAGUUAACAAAUCAACAUUCACAGCAUGAGAUCCAGGCCGGGGGUGGCAGGACUGUUGCAGUUCCCACCAGGAGUGAGCUAGGAACAGGGCAUGGCCGGGCCUGCAAGUAGAAGCAUGGAGACCUUCAGCGACAACGGUCAACUUAGUCUCUGCUUUCAGCCUUUUUAGAUCCUAUCCUCCUUCGAGGCAUAGGUCAAGAUCACCUCCUAAAAACAAAGUUUCCUUGGUUUUUUCCAACACAGGGACCUCUUCCACGUCAUAUUCCCCAAAGAGCUUUACCUCCAUCUUUCUCACUUUGACCCAGAAGAAUGUCUUGCCCUGUUUCUUCUACCCUAGCAUCUGAGCUGAAGCUACUCAGAGGCAGGUACUAACUGAAACACUCAUUAGACACAUUUCGUGCAUUAUGCUUCACCCUAAAGUUACUCGCAUCAGAUAAAGUACCUCCCAGCUCUUCACCACCAGCCACAACAACAGUGUGGGCAUCUGAGGUCCUCGCUGGCUCCAGACUCUAGUUCAGUGAUUGCUCUCUAGCUGGGAGACUUGCAGGUCCCCUAAGUCUGAGAGUAGUGCUGGGUUGAGCUGUUCCAGGCAGUAGACCAGUGGGGGCCUUGUUUCUGUAUCUAAGACGAUGCAUCUUAGUUGACUUAUUUUGUUUUUUAAAUACCAUUUACUUAGUGACUUUAGAAAGUCAGAAUAGGUGGGAAAGAAUUCAGAAUCAGAGAAAAAAAGAGAUCCUACUUGGGAAUAUUGCCUGCAGUUGACAUUCGCCUUUCCUCUAGAUCAUUCUUGACUUUGCAUCCUGUCUGCAGAGUGACACUCUGCCAACCAGACAUAGUCACCUGCUGGGCGACUCACUCAGGGCUCCUUGGCUCUGUCUGGAAAAUCUCUCCCUCUCUCUCCCAUCCUUGUCUCCCAUCCCCCUCCUCCCAGCUCAGGGCCUUUGUUGACGUUGACAGCUCAUCCCUAGGCCAUCAUUCAUCCUGCCCAUGGCAAACUUUGGAGAAAAUAAAAAACCCUGCUCCCCUAAUCUCAUUAGAAGGGCUGCAAAUUGAAUUUAGCCCCUCUCAGUGUCCCCUCAGCUGGCUGUCAUUAGAAGCAGAGGCUGGGCCUUGGCUGAGACCCAAAGACCAGCUAACUGAAUUUGAGAUGCUGUGGUCUUGACAGGCCAAGGGAGGUAAUUGAAGAGCCGUGGGGCUCCUGGUAACAUUUCAGGCUGGGAUUACACUGGGGAUCCAAAACCCCCAUCUGCAUUGGUGUCGGGGGCACUAAAGAGUCACCCGCUGGGCUUCCAGGGGUCGAAUUAUUGAUAAAGAGAUCAUUCCCAGUGGAAGGUGGGGGAACGAUGGGGAGGGUGCAUUUGGUUAUGAUGCAAAGUGGGUGUUAUAGGUGGGGGAAAGGGACACACUGGUCACUGAGGGUCAGCAAAUCACCCAAAGUUAGAGAGUGUUGUCUAAUGAAAAGAAAAGGCAGUUUGGAGAGACUAACAGAUAAAGCUAGAGAAUGUGAGGAAAAGAAAUAUUGAGUUUGAAAUUGUGGGCAUAAUUUAUGUGUUUGUCUGAAUUUUAGUAUUUUUCUUCCUGGAUUAUUUUAGCUUUAUUAUUUUUUUUUCACCUCAACAGUAAACCCAGAGCAUAGGGACACUUUUCUACAGCUGAAAAAUCAUAUUUUUGUAAAAAAGAAAUGUACAAAAUGUCUGUCUCCAUGUAAUUAAGCACCUAACAGAGGUUCAGGUGGAUGACACACACUGACAGACUUCUGGGGCUUCUUAGUUCCCAGAUCUAUCAUGAUGAUUUCAAUGUGGUUGAAAGUUCACUGGAAUCCUGUUUUAAAGAAAAGGAGACUGACAAAAAUUAACCAACUACUAUGUGCCAGGCAUGGUCUUCACGGCAGCAGAACAAGGUGGGCAUUACUCUGACUUGUGGCCCCACUCUAUUGAUGAGGAGACUGAGUCUUGAAAAGAUUAGUCAGUCUCUUACCCAGGGUCAUGGGGAUGAUAAGAGCUGGGACUGAGAUUUAAACCCAGGACUGCCUGGCUCCAUCAAUGUGGAGGCCUUCCUGGCUUAGCAUAGUGUUAGUUUUUCCACUCUGGGUCAUCUCCCUAAAAGAAGUCACCAUGGUGAGAUCUGUUACUCAGAGGCAGUGAGGAUGGGAGCACAGGCUGGGGGCCUGCCAGACUCAUUCCACCAUGUACUAGCCAUGUGACCUUGGGCAUUUCCAAAUCUCUCUGUGCCUUCCUGGAAAAUGGGGAUAGUAAUAGGAUUUGCCCCCCUGGUUUACUAUGAGGAUUAAAUGAGCUGCCCAGUGCCUGGCACACUGUAUAUGCUCACUAUGUGAUAUCCAACUAGAAUUUAAAUUAUAAUUACUGAUGUAUGGCACCAUGAAGAAUGUUCACUUGCAUAUCCAUUGGCCAUCACCUGUUUUCCUUGCCUAAUGUUCUCAGAUUUAGAGUCAGAACACCUCACAUUUACAUCAUGGAACUUACCCAUAAGUGCAAUUUUUGGUGAAGACUAAAGGAUGAACCCAAGGCUUUUCCUAUGUUGAUUAUAUCCAUGGGUUUUUUCCUCCAGCCUAUGUUCUGUAAUGUUGGGUGAGGUAAGACUUCUAGCUCUCCCAUACCUGUGAUUACCAAGUCCUGGCUCCUCAUUAGGCAUUUUAUACAUUUUACCUCAUUUAAUGCUCACUUUUACUCAUCUUACAAUAGAUAGGUUUCAUUUCCAUCUUUUAGAUGAGGAAAGUGCAUUUACGUUAUGCUUUCCAUAUUCCAUCAUGCCUACAGCAUUAACUACAGCCUUAAAGUUGAUCUAAAAUGGCAUAGACUACUAAAAUAUGGGUUUUACUACAUUUGACAAGACUUAUUUCGGUAACUAAAGGCGCUCCUGUCUGUCACCGUAUAUCCCAAUGGUGCUCAGGUUUCAGAUUCAAUGAACCUUUAUUGAACACUGACAGUGUGCCUGGCUCUGGGUUGACAGGCUUUUCCAUAUUGUCUCAUUUAAGUCACCAUUAAUUCUAUGAAGAAAGGCCUUAUGAUUCCUACUUAGCAAAUAGAAAGGUGGUUUAAAAACAUGUAGGGGGGUUUUCUAGGGUUGCACAAUUACUAAAUGGAGUAUGGGAGAAAGAGGCCUGGGCAGCCUCUAACUGUACCACCUCCAACAGGCUAGUUAUGGAGCAGAGAUAAGCCAUCACCGCUGUGCCUUGUACACAUUCCUGACCCAGGGAAUCACGAGCUACAAUAACAAUAAACUGCUGUUUUCAACCACUAAGGGUAGGAUAGUUAGCUACACAGCAAGAGAUAACCAGAACAGUGCCUCUCAGAGGGUUCUUGUGAGAAUUAGGAGUUGAUAUGCUAAGGGCAGUGCCUGGCAGUCAGCAUUCAAAAAAGGAGAGUUGUUACUCAUUCCACAAACAUGUGUUGAGCACCAAGUUGUUCUGCACCCUGUACUGGCUGGGAGGGAUGCAGAGUGGAUGUGAUCCAAGGUCAGGACCCUGUGGAAGUUAGGAUCAACUAGAACCUGGUCACAGACUUGUGUUAAAUGAGGAAUAUAUUUUCCUGCACUCUGGUCCUACGUGUCAUUUCUUUCCCUGGGAGAAGUACAAGUGUCCAGCCUCUCACUGUAAUGGGACACCUGCCCAGUCUCUGGGCAGGCCUGGAGGGGUUAAGCUCAUGGCUGUUGCCCCAUCGCUGUGGACGAACAUCCCGCUGCUAUUGAUUCCUGGUAAGCACGGAUGCCCU